rnacentral:rRNA from 1 species
UACGGGAGGCAGCAGUGGGGAAUAUUGCACAAUGGGCGAAAGCCUGAUGCAGCUAUGCCGCGUGUAUGAAGAAGGCCUUAGGGUUGUAAAGUACUUUCAUCGGGGAGGAAAAAACAAAACUAAUAAUUUUAUUUCUUGACGUUACCCGAAAAAGAAGCACCGGCUAACUCCGUGCCAGCAGCCGCGGUAAUACGGAGGGUGCUAGCGUUAAUCAGAAUUACUGGGCGUAAAGAGCACGUAGGUGGUUUUUUUAAAGUCAGAUGUGAAUCCCUGGGCUUAACCUGGAACUGCAUUUUGAAACUGAAAUACUAGAGUAUCGUAGAGGGAGGUAGAAUUCUAGGUGUAGCGGUGAAAUGCGUAGAUAUCUGGAGGAAUACCUGUGGCGAAAGCGGCCUCCUAAACGAAUACUGACACUGAGUGCGAAAGCGUGGGGAGCGAAACAGGGAUUAGAUACC